rnacentral:rRNA from 1 species
UACGUAGGGGGCUAGCGUUGUCCGGAAUCAUUGGGCGUAAAGCGCGUGUAGGCGGUUCGGUAAGUCCGCUGUGAAAGUCGGGGGCUCAACCCUCGAAAGCCGGUGGAUACUGUCGGACUAGAGUGCGGAAGAGGCGAGUGGAAUUCCUGGUGUAGCGGUGAAAUGCGUAGAUAUCGGAAGGAACACCAGUGGCGAAAGCGGCUUCCUGGUCCAGCACCGACGUUCAGGCACGAAAGCGUGGGGAGCAAACAGG